rnacentral:rRNA from 1 species
UGAGGGAUAUUGGUCAAUGGGCGCAAGCCUGAACCAGCGACGCCGCGUGGGUGAAGAAGGUCUUCGGAUCGUAAAGCCCUUUUCCCACUGAAGAGGAAGGACGGUAGGUGGGGAAGAAGUCUCGGCUAACUACGUGCCAGCAGCCGCGGUAAAACGUAGGAGACAAGCGUUAUCCGGAGUUACUGGGCGUAAAGGGCGUGCAGGUGGCGUCUUAAGUCUGUUGUGAAAGCGCCUGGCUUAACCGGGCGAGGCCAAUGGAGACUGAGAGCCUGGAGGACGGCGGAGGGGUGUGGAAUUCCGGGUGUAGUGGUGAAAUGCGUAGAGAUCCGGAGGAACACCAGAGGCGAAGGCGGCACUCUAAGCCGUACCUGACACUGAGACGCGACAGCACGGGGAGCAAACG